GGGGGUAUAGCUCAAGUGGUAGAGUACAUGCUCAGCAAGCACCAGGUCUUGGGUUCAAUACCCAGUACCUCCA
rnacentral:tRNA from 1 species